rnacentral:lncRNA from 1 species
CGUCUACCAAAACCAAAAGGACAGACAGUUGGAUCAUUCAGGAAGGGUCUGAGAAUGCUGCCGGAUGCAAUCAGUGCAAGGUGCCUUUCUCCUUUCCUAGUUCAAUGUCUCCACCACCCCACUCCCACCCCCAGUAUAAAAAUUUAGGGGGGGAAAAAGAGAAGAAAAAAAUCAACAUUUACGGACUAGUUAAAGCUCAGUUUUGGCAUUUUUUCUGCCUAUGUGCAAUGCUAUCAAAGACGAAAAGCGCAAAAAAGCUCUAACGCCUAUUGGGCCUUUAAGCGCAAAUAAAGUGCGGGCUUUAGUGAAGAAAAGCUCAAAUGAAAAGAAAAAAAAAGUACAAAUAUGUAUGUAUAGUCCAAGAUUAAUAUCUAUAAACAUGAAUACCAAAUAGAUGGACAAAGACAUCGAAGAAACUUUAUUAUUGUUAGCGGAAAUGUAAAAAAAAAAACACAAGAUUUAACGUAGUUCGGAUCAAAAUAAUCCUACGUCUACCAGAGAACAAUUGCCCUUUUAAUAUUAACAAAGGAAGGGGAGAUUUUCCAAUUACACUUAAGAGAAUUUCUCUCUUAACUUUCUACUCACUAUAAUGUAUUGUAUUAUUUUGGGAUGAUUUCUACAAGUGAAGGAGUGCAUCUAUUUAUAGAGGUAAAUACCUCCUCUUGAUGUCAUUGGUGACAUCAAACUACCUUCUCUUGAUGUCAAGGGUGACAUCAAGGGAGGAAGCUUCCUCCUAGCAUCCACACUUCCAAUUGGCAUGCCAUUGUUGACUAAACAUAAACCAACAUUUUUAAUCUCCACCUUGGUUUGCGUUUCGAGCAUGCGUGUGAACAACUCUGGCCAAAACUUCUAAGUUUACUGGGCAACCCCGUUGUAAGAAACAAGAAGAAUCAAACCAUUGUUGAAUAUGCCACCUCCACCUAACAACUGGUCUCUUCAGAGUUGCAUUAGUUGAUGCACACCCCUGCCAAGUCCUUGCAGUGUGCAAACUUAGCGAGCGGGACUAUCUUGGUCAACAUGUCUGCAGCAUUAUCGUCUGUGAUAACCUUCACGACCUUGAUAGUUCCCUCAUCAACAUCUCGAAUAAAAUGAAAUCUGACAUCAAUGUGUUUAGUGCGCUCAUGAAAUCUCUUAUUUUACCUUGGUAGUUCUCUCUUCAACAACAUCUCGAAUAAAAUAAAAUCUGACAUCAAUAUGUUUAGUGCGCUCAUGAAAUCUCUGAUUUUUCAUUAGACGAAUAGCACUCUGACUAUCACAUCUAAGAGUUGAUUCCAGCUGAACCAAACUCAAUUCCGCUUCUAAACCUUUCAACCAGAUAGCUUCCUUCACCGCCUCCGCUGCUGCCAUGUAUUCUGCUUCUGUCGUAGACAAAACGACAAUCGACUGCAGAGUCGACUUCCAACUAACGGCACUUAAUGAUGUAUCCAGUUGUGGACCUUCUUCUGUCAAGAUCUCCUGCAUAGUCAGAAUCCACAUAACCUAGAAUUGAAAUAACUCCACUGGCACUGCCAACGAGGGUAAAGAUGUAUCCAGUUAUGGACCUUCUUCUGUUAAGAUCUCCUGCAUAGUCAGAAUCCACAUCCCGAGAAUUGAAAUACCUGCACCACUUUUUCGAAAGGUCAGACCAACACCAGAAGCUCCUUUGAGAUAUCUCAAUACCCACUUGACAGCUUCCCAAUGCCUCUUUCCUGGGCUGGACAUGUAUCUGCUUACCAUACUUACAGAUUGAGCAAUAUCUGGACGUGUGCAUACCUUAACAUACAUAAUGCUACCAAUUGCACUGGCAUAAGAAAUCUUUGACAUAUGCUCCACCUCAUCCUCGGACUGAGGCAUCUUUCCUAGGUUGGACAUGUAUCUACUUACCACACUUACAGAUUGAGCAAUAUCUGGACGUGUGCAUAACAUAGCAUACAUAAUGCUACCAACUGCAGGCAUAAGGAAUCUUUGACAUAUGCUCCACCUCAUCCUUGGACUGAGGUAUUUGUGACUCUGAAAGUUUAAAAUGAGAAGCUAAUGGUGUACUUACAGGCUUGCACGUAUGCAUAUUGAAUCUCUCGAGAACCCUUUCAAUAUACCUCUUCUAAGAAAGAUGCACAACACCGUCUUCUCUAGAAAUCUCCGUACCAAGGAUUUUCUUUGCAGCUCCUAAAUCCUUCAUGUCAAAUUCCUUACUCUAUCGUUUCUCUUGAAAUCUCCAUACCAAGAAUUUUUUUUGCAGCUCCUAAAUCCUUCAUGUCAAAUUCCUUACUCAACAGUUUCUCCAAAGCAUUUAUCUUUGUAAUAUUGUUAGCAGCAAUAAGCAUAUCAUCAACAUACAACAGUAAAUAAAUCAUUGAGUUACCAGGCAUCUUCUUGUGAUACACACAGCUAUCAAAUGCACUCAUUGAAAAUUCAUGUGUAGUCAUGAAUGAAUCAAACCUCUUGUACCACUGUUUAGGGGAUCUCUUCAAACCAUACAAAGACUUCUUUAGUUGGCAUACAUGAUCUUCUUUUCCCUCAACUAGGAAAUCGUCAGGUUGAUCCAUAUAGAUUGUCCCUUCUAGAUCACCGUGUAAGAAAGCAGUUUUGACAUCAAGUUGUUGAAGCUCCAAGUCAAAUUGUUCAACCAAUACUAGUAGCACGCGAAUUGAGCUAUGCUUCACGACCGGAGAGAAAAUCUCAUUGUAGUCAAUUCCCUCAUUUUGGCUGAAACCUUUUGCAACCAAUCUCGCCUUGAACCUAGCAUCUUCCACUUCAGGAACUCCCUCUUUCUUUCGGUAGACCCACUUGCAUCCAACUGUCCUCUUCCCCUUUUGUCUUUUCACUAAGACCCAUGUCUGAUUCUUGUGAAGAGACUCCAUCUCUUCACCUUUUGUCUUUUCACUAAGACCCAUGUCUGAUUCUUGUGAAGAGACUCCAUCUCUUCAGUCAUGGCUAACUGCCAUUGUGCAGCAUCCUUGCAAGAAGUUGCUUCAAUAUACGAGGAGGGCUCCAGUUCUUUAAUAUCUUCUUGUGCAGCUACGAUCGCAUAUGCAAUCAAGUUUGCUUGAUUUAUAAGGCGUUCCGGUUCUCGUGUAUGCCUCUUCCCUCCCCUUCGCAAUUGUGUAUGGUUCAUUGACAACAAGCUCUUCAAGGCCUACUCUUCUGACUCAUCUUUAACCUGAGUCUCUUGAACCUUUUCCUUGGCAAGCUCCACCUGCUCGUCGUUCUUGUUUUAUGAAAACUCCACGGAAACUUUACGAGGAUCAAGUAUAGAGGAUUCAUCGAAGGUGAUAUCUCUACUAACUAUAAAUUUGAGUGAAGACAAACACCAAAGUUUGUGCUCUUUUACUCCAUCUACAUUCCCUACGAAUAUGGCCUUCUUAGCCCUUGGUUCAAGCUUUCCUUCAUUUACGUGAUAAUAAGCUGGACACCCAAAUACUCGUAAAUAUGAAUAGUUAGAGGGUUCGCCUGACCAUACCUCAUUUGGAGUCUUAAAGUCAAUUGCUGAUGCUGGAGAUCGAUUGACAAUAUGAGCAGCAGUGUGAACUGCUUCAGCCCAAAAUACUUUGGACAUUUUGGCUUGUAGGAGCAUACAACGAGCCUUUCAAGAAGAGUUAUGUUCAUUCUCUCGGCAACUCCAUUCUGCUGUGGGGUAUGCCUGACAUAUACAACGAGCCUUUUCAAGAAGAGUUUUGUUCAUUCUCUCGGCAACUCCAUUCUGCUGUGGGGUAUGCCUGAUAGUCCUAUGUCUUGAGAUCCCAUGAACCUUGCAUAAUUCCUUAAACUCUUCAUUGCAAAACUCCAAGCCAUUGUCUAUGCGAAGAUACUUGAUUUUCCGCUCCAUUUGAUUUUCAACCGAAAUCUUCCACUCUUUAAAUGCUUCAAAAAAUACACCCAAACUUUUCGUGAGAAAUCAUCAAUAAAAGUGAGAAGAUACCUCUUUCCGCCCGUCGAUGGAAGUUUAGAAGGACCCCAUAAAUCUGAAUGGAUGUAGUCUAGCACUCCUCUUGUAUUGUGUUUGCUAGUGUUGAAGCUGACCUUCUUCUGCUUCCCUAGAACGCAGUGCUCACAGAAGUCAAGUGUGCUAAUCUUCUCACCUUCCAAAAGGUUACGAUUGCUCAACAUCUCCGGUCCACGUGUGCUCAUAUGACUCAGUCUCAUGUGUCAUAGUCUUGCCUUGUUAUCAUUAGGUAACUGCAUUGUAGAUGCAUUUGCAGAGCCAACAAUGGUGCUUCCGGCCAAUGUGUAAAGGCCGUUCUCCAGCUUGCCUUUCAGCAUCACUAAAGAACCUUUAGUCACCUUCAUAGUUCCUGCUUCGCUCAUGUACCUUUAGCCUUGUUCAUCCAGAGUACCCAAGGAGAUCAAAUUCUUCUUCAGAUCAGGAACAUGACGGCCUUGUGUAAUAGUCCUCAUGACUCCAUCAUGGCAGCAAACCUGAACUGAGCCAAUGCCAACUAUUGCACAAGUUGCAUUAUUGCCCAUUACUACGGUUCCUCCACUUCUCUCGUAGCUGAAUCAUGGCAGUGAACCCGAACUGAGCCAAUGCCAACUAUUGCACAAGUUGCAUUAUUGCCCAUUACUUCGGUUCCUCCACUUUUCUCGUAGCUGCUAAACUAGUCUUUCGGGAACGUCAUAUGCAGAGUACAAGCAGAGUCUAACACCCAUUUGUUUUCAUAACUACUAUUAUAUUACGCGAUAUUGUUAGUACAUAAUCAUUAUCAAAAUCAUGUACCUGUUCAACUGUAGAUGCACUCCCCUUUUCCUUGGACAUUGACAUUAGGCAAUCUCGUUCAAAGUGCCCCUUCUUGCCACAACCCCAACACUCUGUAUUCUUCUUGUUCACACGAGACUUUGAUCUGUGCUUUGAUUUGCUCUUUCCCUGUUUGCUAGUCCGGCCUCUCACAAAGAGCCCACUUGCCUAGUCAUCUCUAUCUCCUUUAAUGUGCCUCCGCAACUUUGAUUUGCUCUUUCCAUGUUGGCUAGUCUGGCCUCUCACAAAGAGGCCACUUGCCUGGUCAUCUCUAUCUCCUUCAAUGUGCCUCCGCACAUCACUUGAGUUAAGUGCCUGCCGCACUUGCUCAAGUUUGAUAGGCUCCUUGCUAUACAUCAUUGAAUUCUCAAUAUCACGAUAUCCUGAAGUCAAUGAAAAUAACAAAGCACAUGCAAGCGUCUCCUCCUCCCUUUUAAUUCCUGCAAUCUGUAAGUCCAUGACAAGUUUAUUAAAUGCAUCUAAAAUGAUGAAGUAUCUGACCCCAUCUUAAAUGUGUGAAGACGCCGGUGUAACAACAUUCUUGUUGUCACUGAUCGGUCUUGCUAUAGCCCUUCUAGCUUUCCCCAUAACUGUUUGGCCGUUUCUUCGGUACCUGUACUCACUUCACAAAGCACGUUAGGUGCAAAGGAUAGUUAGAUUGCACUCAAUGCAUCCCCUUCAAUCUUCUCCUUGUCGGGAGAUGAUAUAUCCGUAGGAUACUUUCCGUCAAUAGCAUGGAUUGAACCUUCCCUCCGCAGUAACGCCAUCAUCUGUAUCUUCUAUCAAUUUCAAUCUUCAUGGAACUCAUGUUUUCUUGUUAUUCCUCCUUGGAUAAUUAAAGAAUCAUAUCUCUCUGAUACCAAUUGUUAGCGGAAACCUAAAAAAAGAACACAAGAUUUAACGUGGUUCAGAUCAAAUAAUCCUACGUCCACCAGAGAACAAUUUCCUUUCUAUUAUUUACAAAGGAAGGGAGAAACGUAAAAGAAAGAACACAAGAUUUAAUGUGGUUUGGAUCAAAAUAAUCUUACGUCCACCAGAGAACAAUUGCCCUUUUAGUAUUAACAAAGGAAGGGGAGAUUUCCCAAUUACACUUAAGAGAAUUUCUCUCUUAACUCUCUACUCACUACAAUGUAUUGUAUUAUUUUGGGAUGAUUUCGACAAGUGAAGGAGUGCAUCUAUUUAUAGAGGUAAAGACCUCCUCUUGAUGUCAUUGGUGACAUCAAACUACCUUCUAUUGAUGUCACGUGUGACAUCAAAGGAGGAAGCUUCCUCCUAGCAUCCACACCAACUCUUUCUACCAACUCUUCCAAUUGGCAUGCAAUUGUUGACUAAACAUAAACCAACAUUUUCAUUUAUUAAGUGAAAUAUCAAUUGUUUAGCAUUACCUCCUCAUGAUUACGCUUAUUUGCAAGGAAAAGUAUGCUUUUAGAGCCUUGAUGAUAAGGCUGAAGCGCCCGCUAAGCGAGGCAAAGUGCUCAAUAUGUUUUGAGAUUCGCUUCAGGGCUUAAGCGUGCCUUUGAUAAUACUGCCUAAGUGUGUUCUUUAAUGCUCUUGUUCAAGCAGUUCUCUAGUAUUUUUACCUUGGCUCCACCCCACUCCCACCCCCAUUAUAAAUAUUUGGCAGUUCUCUAGUAUUUUUACCUUGGAAAUGCUAAUAAGUCGUCGCCGUGUUUCCUUAGAUUGGGAAGCAAAUUAAAACUGUCAUGGAAGCUUUCUAGCAUUACAAAGUCAGAAAAAGGAGGAUAUCGCUUGACAUACGAGACACCAGAAGGAGUCGU